rnacentral:lncRNA from 1 species
CCAAUUUCAAACCCCUCGUUUCACGAGAAGCAUCCUCAUCGUUCGUCACACGCUCCGCCGCCGAGCCACAAGAGAGAAAAACCUUCCAUGGACUCUGCUAUGUCGUCGGUGACAACAUCGACACUGACCAAAUCAUUCCCGCAGAGUUUCUCACUCUCGUCCCUUCGAAUCCAGAAGAAUACGAGAAACUCGGUUCCUACGCUCUAGUUGGUCUUCCAGCUUCUUACAAGGAACGAUUCGUCCAGCCAGGAGAGAUGAAGACGAAGUACUCAAUCAUCAUCGGCGGCGAAAACUUCGGAUGUGGAUCGUCACGUGAACAUGCUCCGGUUUGUUUAGGAGCAGCCGGAGCUAAAGCAGUGGUGGCUCAAUCUUAUGCUAGAAUCUUUUUCAGGAACUCUGUGGCUACAGGUGAGGUUUAUCCGUUGGAUUCGGAGGUUAGGGUUUGUGAUGAGUGUAAAACUGGUGAUGUUGCGACGGUUGAGUUGAGGGAAGGUGAUAGUAUUCUGAUCAAUCAUACGACGGGGAAAGAGUAUAAGCUUAAGCCGAUUGGUGAUGCUGGACCAGUUAUUGAUGCUGGUGGUAUAUUUGCUUAUGCUAGG